AUGGACAACACCGCCGUCGCCAGCUACUCGGUCCCCAGGGGAAGCCAGGUCGUCCUGAGCCGCAUCGGCCUCGGGCGGAACCCCAGGGUGUGGGCUGGCCCUCUCGGGUUCUGGCCAGAGCGGCACCUGGCCGGUGACGACGCCACUGUGGCGCUCAGCGAGCCGGAGCUGCGGUUCGUGUCCUUCAGCACCGGGCGGCGGGGCUGCCCCGGGAUCGCGCCGGGCACCCUCUUCACCGUCAUGCUGUUCGCGCGGCUCCUGCAGAGGUUCACCUGGAGCUUGCCGCCCGGCGUGGAUGGCGUGUGCCCAAGAUCCUCUCCUACCUGGGAUUCGACGCGGAGCAGAAGCUCCUUUGAGAGCGAGGCCGACGAGCCGGUGAAGCUCCUUGAGAGCUGGAGAUCCGCAUCAGCCUGGAGCUGA
rnacentral:rRNA from 1 species